GCCCCUGUCGUCCAAUGGCUAGGACAUCACCUCCUUGAAAUUCUGUUGAGCUUCCUCGGUGAAGAUCGGCGUUCAAAUCGUCGUUGGGGCG